UUGUUGGUGAGGUAACGGCCCACCAAGGCUCCGAUGGAUAGCCGGCCUGAGAGGGUGAACGGCCACACUGGGACUGAGAUACGGCCCAGACUCCUACGGGAGGCAGCAGUAGGGAAUAUUGCGCAAUGGGCGAAAGCCUGACGCAGCGACGCCGCGUGGGUGAUGAAGCUCUUUGGAGUGUAAAACCCUUUCAGCAGGGAAGAACCGCAUACGGAGUAACUGCCGUAUGCCUGACGGUACCUGCAGAAGAAGCUCCGGCCAACUCCGUGCCAGCAGCCGCGGUAAUACGGGGGGAGCGAGCGUUGUUCGGAUUUACUGGGCGUAAAGGGCGCGUAGGUGGGUCUUCAAGUCAAAUGUGAAAACCGACGGCUUAACCAUCGGCCUGCAUUUGAUACUGUUGAUCUUGAGUACGGGAGAGGAAAGCGGAAUUCCUGGUGUAGCGGUGAAAUGCGUAGAUAUCAGGAGGAACACCGGUGGCGAAGGCGGCUUUCUGGCCCGAUACUGACACUGAGGCGCGAAGGCCGGGGGAGCAAACAGGAUUAGAUACCCUGGUAGUCCCGGCGGUAAACGAUGGGCACUAGGUGUUGGAGGUAUCGACCCCUUCAGUGCCGCAGCUAACGCAUUAAGUGCCCCGC
rnacentral:rRNA from 1 species